rnacentral:rRNA from 1 species
GGUUUGGAAAGACCCACCACAGAAGGUAAUAGUCCUGUAUGUUAAACGAGAAGACUUUAGAUAUGAUCCAGAGUACCACGGGACACGUGAAACCCUGUGGGAAGCAGGAGGGACCACCCUCCAAGGCUAAAUACUACCUAGUGACCGAUAGCGUAUAGUACCGUGAGGGAAAGGUGAAAAGAACCCCGGGAGGGGAGUGAAAUAGAACCUGAAACCCUGCACUUACAAGCUGUGGAAGCACAUUUCUUGUGUGACCGCGUACUUUUUGUAGAACGGGCCAACGAGUUACGUUAAGUAGCAAGGUUAAGCACUUAAGGUGCGGAGCCGUAGCGAAAGCGAGUUUUAACUGAGCGUUCAGUUACUUGACGUAGACCCGAAACCGGGCGACCUACCCAUGAGCAGGAUGAAGCGAAAGUAAAAUUUCGUGGAGGUCCGAACCCACGAGCGUUGAAAAGCUCGGGGAUGACUUGUGGGUAGCGGUGAAAUUCCAAUCGAGCCCGGAGAUAGCUGGUUCUCCCCGAAAUAGCUUUAGGGCUAGCCUCAAGGUGAGAGAUACGGAGGUAGAGCACUGAAUGUCCUAGGGGGUAUUGCACCUACCGAAGACUAUCAAACUCCGAAUGCCGUCAUCUUAUACUUGGGAGUCAGACUGUGGGUGAUAAGAUUCAUAGUCGAAAGGGCAACAGCCCAGAUCGUCAGCUAAGGUCCCUAAAUGUAAGUUAAGUGGUAAAGGAUGUGGGAUUGCACAGACAACCAGGAUGUUGGCUUAGAAGCAGCCACUCAUUCAAAGAGUGCGUAAUAGCUCACUGGUCGAGUGAUCCUGCGCCGAAGAUUUCCGGGGCUAAAACUUACUACCGAAGCUACGGCAUCAGUAAUGAUGGGUAGGGGAGCUUCCCAUACGGGUUGAAGCAUGACCGUAAGGACAUGUGGACAGUAUGGGAGUGAGAAUGUUGGCAUGAGUAGCGAGAUGUGGGUGAGAAUCCCACAGGCCGUAAACCCAAGGUUUCCAGGGGAAGGUUCGUCCGCCCUGGGUUAGUCGGGACCUAAGCUGAGGCCGAAAGGCGUAGGUGAUGGACAACAGGUUGAUAUUCCUGUACUACCGAUAACCGUUUGAGAGAAGGGAUGACACAGUAGGAUAAGCUAAGCACACUGUUGGUUAUGUGUGCCCAAGCAUUGAGGCAGUCAAAGUAGGCAAAUCCGCUUUGAUAAUGCUGGGAUGUGAUGGGGAGCGAAAUUUAGUAGCGAAGUAGCUGAUUUCACACUGUCAAGAAAAGUCUCUAUCGAGGUUAAAGGUACCCGUACCGCAAACCGACACAGGUGGGUGAGGAGAGUAUCCUAAGGCCAGCGAGAGAACUGUUGUUAAGGAACUCGGCAAAAUGACCCCGUAACUUAGGGAUAAGGGGUGCCACCAUCAGGUGGCCGCAGAGAAUAGGCCCAAGCGACUGUUUACCAAAAACAUAGGUUUCUGCUAAGUCGCAAGACGAUGUAUAGGAGCUGACGCCUGCCCGGUGCUGGAAGGUUAAGGGGAUCUGUUAGAGCAAUCGAAGCAGUGAACUUAAGCCCCAGUAAACGGCGGCCGUAACUAUAACGGUCCUAAGGUAGCGAAAUUCCUUGUCGGGUAAGUUCCGACCCGCACGAAAGGCGUAACGAUUUGGGCACUGUCUCAACAACAGACUCGGUGAAAUUGUAAUUCCGGUGAAGAUGCCGGAUACCUGCGACAGGACGGAAAGACCCCAUGGAGCUUUACUGUAGCUUGACAUUGGGUCUUGGUACUACAUGUACAGGAUAGGUGGGAGGCUUUGAAACCAGGACGCCAGUUUUGGCGGAGCCAUCCUUGGGAUACCACCCUUGUAGUACUGGGACUCUAACCAUAGGCCAUGAAUCUGGUCUUGGGACACUGUCAGGUGGGCAGUUUGACUGGGGCGGUCGCCUCCCAAAAGGUAACGGAGGCGCUCAAAGGUUCUCUCAGUACGGUCGGAAAUCGUACGUAGAGUGUAAAGGCAAAAGAGAGCUUGAUUGCAAGACAUACAGGUCGAGCAAGGAUGAAAAUCGGACUUAGUGAUCCGGUGGUUCUGCGUGGAAGGGCCAUCGCUCAACGGAUAAAAGCUACCCUGGGGAUAACAGGCUUAUCUCCCCCAAGAGUCCACAUCGACGGGGAGGUUUGGCACCUCGAUGUCGGCUCAUCACAUCCUGGGGCUGUAGUAGGUCCCAAGGGUUGGGCUGUUCGCCCAUUAAAGUGGUACGCGAGCUGGGUUCAGAACGUCGUGAGACAGUUCGGUCCCUAUCCGUCGCAGGCGUAGGAAAUUUGAGAAGACCUGUCCUUAGUACGAGAGGACCGGGAUGGACGUACCUCUGGUGUACCAGUUGUCCUGCCAAGGGCAUGGCUGGGUAGCUAUGUACGGAAUGGAUAAGCGCUGAAAGCAUCUAAGCGCGAAGCCAACUUCAAGAUAAGAUUUCCCACCGCAAGGGUAAGACCCCAGAAAGACUAUCUGGUUGA